rnacentral:rRNA from 1 species
GCAUAACGCGAAGAACCUUACCUACUCUUGUAUCCUCCUUUUGACUUUCAGAGAUGAUUGUCUUCGGUUCGGCCGGGGAGGUGACAGGUGCUGCAUGGCUGUCGUCAGCUCGUGUCGUGAGAUGUUGGGUUAAGUCCGCAACGAGCGCAACCCUCAUCGUAUGUUGCCAUCAGGUAAUGCUGGGCGACUCGUGCGAGACCGCCGGUGAUAAGCCGGAGGAAGGUGGGACGGACGUCAAGUCAUCAUGGCCCUUACGAGUAGGGCUACAAACGUGCUACAAUGGUGGUGACAGUGAGCAGCCACUCCGCAAGGAGGAGCUAAUCUCUAAAAGCCAUCUCAGUUCAGAUUGUCCUCUGCAACUCGAGGGCAUGAAGUUGGAAUCGCUAGUAAUCGUGGAUCAGCAUGCCACGAUGAAUACGUUCCCGGGUCUUGUACACACCGGAGGUCUUGGUACAGGUC